GUGGACGUGGUGCAUGGUGCACCGCUGUAUUGCAUGUGAAGUUUGGAUUGUUGAAGCAGCUGUCGGGGUUCGACUCCUCGCGUCCACA